AUCUAUAGUCAUGCUACCGUGACCAAGCCCGAUCCCAUCUGAUCUUGGAAGCUAAGCAGGGUUGGGCCUGGUUAGUACUUGAAUGGGAGACCACCCAGGAAGGCCAGGUGCUAUAGGUG
rnacentral:rRNA from 1 species